GGUUCCAGUUCUGGCUCAGAUUGAACGCUGGCAGGAUGCUUUACAUGCAAGUCAGGUACGGCAGCACGGACUUCGGUCUGGUGGCGAGUGGCGAACAGGUGAGUAAUGUAUCGGAACGUGCCUAGUAACGGGGAUAACGCGAAAGCGUAGCUAAUACCAUACGCCCUUCGAAGCUGGGGGACCUUCGGGCCUCGCACUAUGAAGCAGCCGAUAUCAGAUUAGCUAGUUGGUGGGGUAACGGCUCGCAGGCGGCAGUCCGUAGCUGGUUUGAGAGGACGACCAGCCACACUGGGACUGAGGCACGGCCCAGACUCCUACGGGAGGCAGCGGUAGAAAUUUUGGACAAUGGGGGAAACCCUGAUCCAGCCAUCCCGCGUGUGCAGUGAAGGAGCCUUCGGGUUAAGCCUUUGGCAGGAAAGAAACGUGGCACGGGAUAAUACCCCGUGCAACUGACGGUACCUGCAGAAUAAGCACCGGCUAACUACGUGCCAGCUCAGCCGCGGUAAUACGUAAGGGUGCAAGCGUUAAUCAGGAUUACUGGGCAUAAAGCGUGCGCAGGCGGUUCGGAAGAAGAUGUGAAAUCCCAGGAAAACGCUUUGGAACUGCAUUUUUUUAACUACCGAGCUGAGAGUGUGUCAGAGGGAGGUGGAAUUCCGCGUGUAGCAGUGAAAUGCGUAGAUGUGCCGGAGAAGACGCGAUGGCGACAACCUCCUGGAUAACUGCAACGCCAUGCAAAAAGCGUGAAGACAAAACGGUUCGAUACCCUGGUAGUCCACGCCCUAAACGAUGUCAACUAGCUGUUGGGGCCUUCGGGCCUUGGUAGCGCAGCUAACGCGUGAAGUUGACCGCCUGGGAGUACGGUCGCAAGAUUAAAACUCAAAGGAAUUGACGGGGACCCGCACAAGCGGUGGAUGAUGUGGAUUAUUCGAUGCAACGCGAAAAACCUUACCUACCUUGACAUGUCUAGAUCCCGAAGAGAUUUGGGUGCUCGCAAAGAGCAGAACCUGGUGCUACAUGGCUAUCGUCAGCUCGUGUCGUGAGAUGUUGGGUUAAGUCCCGCAACGAGGCGCAACCCUUGUCAUUGAGAUUUGCUUUGAAAAGGGCACUCUAAUGGACACCGGUGACAAACCGGAGGGAGGUGGGGAUGACGUCAGUCCUCUGGCCCUUAUGGUGGGGCUUCACACGUCAUACAAUGGUCAAGGACAGAGGGUCGCCAACCCGCGAGGGGGGUAAUCCCAGAAACCCGAUCGUAGUCCGGAUCGCAGUCUGCAACUCGACUGCGUGGAAGUCGGAAUCGCUAGUAAUCGCGGAUCAGCAUGUCGCGGUGAAUACGUUCCCGGGUCUUGUACACACCGCCCGUCACACCAUGGGAGUGGGUUUUACCGAAGUAGUUAGCCUAACCGUAAGGAGGGCGAUUACCACGGUAGGAUUCAUGACUGGGGUGAAGUCGUAAUGAGUA
rnacentral:rRNA from 1 species